GCCGGGUGUGGUGGUGUACGCCUGUGAUCCCAGCUACUCGGGGAGGCUGAGACAUGAGAAUCGCUUGAACCCAGGAGUCAGAUUGGAGUGAGCUGAGAUUGUGCCACUGUACUCCAGCCUGGGUGACAGAGUGAGACUAUGUCUCAA
rfam:Pan troglodytes isolate Yerkes chimp pedigree #C0471 (Clint) chromosome 11, whole genome shotgun sequence.